CCAAAUACUCAUAAUAUAACAAACAUCCACUCGUUUUAGUCAUAAUUUUUUUGAUAAAAAAAUUAAUGCUUGUUCUCAUAAAUCUAUACAUAAUCCGUAAUUUGGUUCAGGUAUAAGUAAGAACUGCUUGUUCCAGGGAUAGGUACAAGUUCAGGUAUAAGCAGGAACUAAACCAAUUUUGCGUUUGGAUGAAAAUUGAGUUGUUCCUAGGAAUAAAGUAAAUAGCGUUUGGAUGGUUAAAUUGGAACAAGAGGAAUAAAAGUUAUAAUUUGAAAUUAAAAUUAUAUUAUCUAAUUAAUUAACAUCAAAAUAUUACUUAAAAAUAAAUAAUAAAUAAAUUAUUAAUAAAUAAUUAUAAAUAAUAAUAAUUAUUAAUUAUUAAUUAUUAUUAUUAAUUAUUUAUAAUUAUUUAUAAGUAAUAAAUUAAUUAAUUAUUAAUAAAUUAUUUAUAAUUAUUAAUUAAUUAAUUAUUAAUAAUUAUUUAUAAGUAAUAAAUUAAUUAAUAAUAAUUAUCUAAUUAUUAAUAAUUAAUUAUAAAUCAUUAUUAAUAAAUAAUAAUAAUAAUUUUAUUAUUAAUUAUUAAUAAUAAAUUACUAAUAAUAUCGAUUAUCUAAUUAAUAAGAAUAAUUAUUUUAUUAUUAAUUAUUAUUUAAAUAAUAAUAUUAAUAAUUAAUUAUAAGUAAUAAAUUAAUUAAUAAUAAUUAUCUAAUUAUUAAUAAUUAAUUAUAAAUAAUAAAUUAAUAAUAAUAUCGAUUAUCUAUUUCUUAAGAAUAAUAAUUAUUAAUAAUUAUUAUUUAAUUAAUAAUUAUUAAUAAAUAAUAAUUAUUAAAUUAAUAAUUAUUAUUAUCUAAUUAUAAAUAAUUAAUUAUAAUUAAUUAUUUGUUUAUUUAUUUUAUUAUUUAAGCAAUAGAUAAUAAUUCAAAUAUAUUAAUUAGAUUAAUUAAUAAUUUACUAUCAUUAAAAUUUCAAUUUAGAUUUAAUCAACCUUGUUCUCAUUCGGGAACAAGCUUGUUCCAGGAAAAAGAUGGAACAGCAGUUCCAGCCAGUUCCAGUCUUAUACCAGCUAGUUCCAGAAACCCGGGAACUACUGUUCUCGGGUACCAAACGCUGCGUUUAGGAACAAAGGGGCGAACAAGGGCCUAUUCUCCCUCUUGUUCCCGAACCAAACGCUACGUAAGUACAUACAGAUA
rnacentral:lncRNA from 1 species